GAAUUAAACCAUCAGAUCCAAUACAACAUACUCUAUAGCUUGACAGCAUCGGCUGUGCCCAUGAUCGGGCAUCACUGUUUGGGUUCCGUUUCCAUGCCAACUUCAAUUAACAUUGGCUGCGGGGACAGGAGAGGAUGUUUCCAAGAGGAGAGAUGAGAAGAGUGUCACUUAAAGUGUUUCUGGACCAGCUGUUUUCAGUCCCUAUGACAAUAAGUGCUUUUUGCACUGGGCUGAACACUUUGGAAGGUGCAGAGCAUCCCCUUGAAGACUGGAUAAAUACAUUCUGGACCUCUUCUAAGGCUUAGAAUUUCUUGCUGAUCCCGCUGAUGGCUCGGAGGAGUUUCUCUUGGCUGGACUUUCUUCUUCUGUCAUUUCAAGCAACUGAAGGGUGACUUCCUGAUUUAGGCUUUAUUCUGCAGCUGCUUGACUUUGAAUUUAACCAAAACACUUUCUUAAAUCAACAUAUGCAACAAUGCAUAUUAAACAUAAUGGAUGCAUUACAGCUGGCUGAAGUUUAAUUUUAUGUGGUUCGAAAAAAAAAACAUUUCUUGACUCUUGACAUUCUAUUGGUGUGGGUAAACCACGAUUUGUGAAAAUGUUUAUUAUUUAAAUGAUUCCAAUUACUACGUAAUAAACAAACAUGAUUUUUUACCCCA